UGCACAAUGGGCGCAAGCCUGAUGCAGCUAUGUCGCGUGUAUGAAGAAGACCUUAGGGUUGUAAAGUACUUUCAAUAGCAUAAGAAGGUAAUGAAACUAAUAAUUUUGUUAUCAGACGUUAGCUAUAAAAGAAGCACCGGCUAACUCCGUGCCAGCAGCCGCGGUAAUACGGAGGGUGCUAGCGUUAAUCGGAAUUACUGGGCGUAAAGAGCACUUAGGUGGUUUAUUAAGUCAAGUGUGAAAUCCCUAGACUUAAUCUAGGAACUGCAUUUGAAACUAAUAGACUAGAGUUUCGUAGAGGGAGGUAGAAUUCUAGGUGUAGCGGUGAAAUGCAUAGAUAUCUAGAGGAAUAUCAGUGGCGAAGGCGACCUCCUGGACGAUAACUGACGCUAAAAUGCGAAAGCAUGGGUAGCAAACAGGAUUAGAUACCCUGGUAGUCCAUGCUGUAAACGAUGUCGACUAAGAAGUUGAAAGCUUUGACUUAUAAUUUCUGUAGCUAACGCGUUAAGUCGACCGCCUGGGGAGUACGGCCGCAAGGCUAAAACUCAAAUGAAUUGACGGGGGCCUGCACAAGCGGUGGAGCAUGUGGUUUAAUUCGAUGCAACGCGUAAAACCUUACCUGGUCUUGACAUCCACAGAAUUUUAUAGAAAUAUAAAAGUGCAAUUUGAACUGUGAGACAGGUGCUGCAUGGCUGUCGUCAGCUCGUGUUGUGAAAUGUUGGGUUAAGUCCCGCAACGAGCGCAACCCUUGUUUUUUGUUACCAUCAGAUAAAGCUGGGGACUCAAAAGAAACUGCCAGUUAUAAACUGGAGGAAGGUGGGGACGACGUCAAGUCAUCAUGGCCCUUACGACCAGGGCUACACACGUGCUACAAUGGCGUAUACAAAGAGAUGCAAUAUUGUAAAAUAAAGCUAAUCUAUAAAAUACGUCUUAGUUCGGACUGGAGUCUGCAACUCGACUCCACGAAGUCGGAAUCGCUAGUAAUCGUGGAUCAGCAUGCCACGGUGAAUAUGUUUCCAGGCCUUGUACACACCGCCCGUCACACCAUGGAAGUGGGUUGCAAAAGAAGUAGAUUAAUUUAACCUUCUUAACAAGAAAAUAGUUUACCAC
rnacentral:rRNA from 1 species